rnacentral:rRNA from 1 species
GAUUUCUGGCCUGGUGCGCCUGGCCCGCCAGCGUUUGCUGUGUGAGUGUCGGGUCGUGCCUGCCAUCCUUCUGUGUGCCCGAUCUACUCUUCAUUGAGGUCGGAUCGAGUGGACAGAUCGUUUACUUUGAAAAAAUUAGAGUGUUUCAAGCAGGCUGACCGCUAUGAAUACAUUAGCAUGGAAUAAUAAUUUAGGACUUCGGUUCUAUUUUGUUGGUUUCUAGGACGGAAGUAAUGAUUGAUAGGGAUAGUUGGGGGUGCUAGUAUUCAGCGGCCAGAGGUGAAAUUCUCGGAUUCGCUGAAGACUAACUUAUGCGAAAGCAUU